GCUGGGACCCCACCUGGACUCACUCACACCUUUGCUUGGCUUCUUCCCUUUCUCUGGUUCAUCUUUCUCCUCUUGCUGAGCUGUGUCUUGUCCUUCCCCCUUAAUGAAUCCCUUGCACACAUAUUCUCACCUCCAGGUCUGCUUCUGGGCCAUCCGACCUAAGAUUUGGAAGUCUGUUUGACCCUUGCCUGCCCUCCCGGGAGCCCCAGGGUGUGUCCCUUGUGGCCCAUGACCAGCACGUCUCCCUGAUUGGGCCGCGAGUGCAGGGAAACGUCCAGAUCGGGAUCUCUGCAGCGCCCCAGAUUCGCAAGCACUGUGGAAGCACGCGCGGUCCCCCCUCUUCUUCCAAAGAAAAGCACCCGCACGGCGAGUCGCCGACCAACGCGGAGAGACGCGGGCCCUUAGUCACGGUGAGUGAGAUAUGAAUCAGAAUAGUAAGAAGAUUCCAUCCUUCGCCUUUCCGAUUGGCAAAUAUUAAAAGGUUUGCUCUUUUCCGGGGAUGACCAGGACCUGGGAGGAGAGGCCACCCGCAGACCCAGUGAACGGGGGACGGCGUGUGGGGGCUCUCGGUGCAACCCCCGGACGAGAGUUUAGC
rnacentral:lncRNA from 12 species